AGCGAACGCUGGCGGCAGGCCUAACACAUGCAAGUCGAACGAAGUCUUCGGACUUAGUGGCGGACGGGUGAGUAACACGUGGGAACGUGCCUUUAGGUUCGGAAUAACUCAGGGAAACUUGUGCUAAUACCGAAUGUGCCCUUCGGGGGAAAGAUUUAUCGCCUUUAGAGCGGCCCGCGUCUGAUUAGCUAGUCGGUGAGGUAAAGGCUCACCAAGGCGACGAUCAGUAGCUGGUCUGAGAGGAUGAUCAGCCACAUUGGGACUGAGACACGGCCCAAACUCCUACGGGAGGCAGCAGUGGGGAAUCUUGCGAAAUGGGCGAAAGCCUGACGCAGCCAUGCCGCGUGAAUGAUGAAGGUCUUAGGAUUGUAAAAUUCUUUCACCGGGGACGAUAAUGACGGUACCCGGAGAAGAAGCCCCGGCUAACUUCGUGCCAGCCGCCGCCGUAA
rnacentral:rRNA from 1 species